rnacentral:rRNA from 1 species
GAUGAACGCUAGCGGCAGGCCUAACACAUGCAAGUCGAGGGGCAGCACAGAAACAGCAAUGUUUUGGUGGCGACCGGCGGACGGGUGCGUAACGCGUAUGCAACCUACCUUUAACAGGGGGAUAACGGAGAGAAGUUUCCACUAAUACCCCAUAACAUCGAUCAAGGCAUCUUGAUUGGUUGAAAACUCCGGUGGUUAAAGAUGGGCAUGCGUUGUAUUAGGUAGUUGGUGAGGUAAUGGCUCACCAAGCCUACGAUACAUAGGGGGACUGAGAGGUUAGCCCCCCACACUGGAACUGAGACACGGACCAGACUCCUACGGGAGGCAGCAGUGAGGAAUAUUGGUCAAUGGGGGCAACCCUGAACCAGCCAUGCCGCGUGCAGGAAGACGGCUCUAUGAGUUGUAAACUGCUUUUAAACAGGGAUAAAGCACAGUAUGUAUGCUGUGUUGAAGGUACUGUAAGAAUAAGGAUCGGCUAACUCCGUGCCAGCCGCCGCAGUAA